GAGUUUGAUCAUGGCUCAGGACGAACGCUGGCGGCGUGCUUAACACAUGCAAGUCGAGCGGAAAGGCCCUUUCGGGGGUACUCGAGCGGCGAACGGGUGAGUAACACGUGAGUAACCUGCCCCAGUCUUUGGGAUAACCCUCGGAAACGAGGGCUAAUACCGGAUAUGACAUUCCACCGCAUGGUGUGGGUGUGGAAAGUUUUUCGGUCUGGGAUGGGCUCGCGGCCUAUCAGCUUGUUGGUGGGGUGAUGGCCUACCAAGGCGACGACGGGUAGCCGGCCUGAGAGGGCGACCGGCCACACUGGGACUGAGACACGGCCCAGACUCCUACGGGAGGCAGCAGUGGGGAAUAUUGCACAAUGGGCGGAAGCCUGAUGCAGCGACGCCGCGUGAGGGAUGACGGCCUUCGGUU
rnacentral:rRNA from 1 species